rnacentral:rRNA from 1 species
CAGAGCGAACGCUGGCGGCAGGCCUAACACAUGCAAGUCGAACGAACUCUUCGGAGUUAGUGGCGGACGGGUGAGUAACACGUGGGAACGUGCCUUUUGGUUCGGAAUAACUCAGGGAAACUUGUGCUAAUACCGAAUGUGCCCUUCGGGGGAAAGAUUUAUCGCCAUUAGAGCGGCCCGCGUCUGAUUAGCUAGUUGGUGAGGUAAAGGCUCACCAAGGCGACGAUCAGUAGCUGGUCUGAGAGGAUGAUCAGCCACAUUGGGACUGAGACACGGCCCAAACUCCUACGGGAGGCAGCAGUGGGGAAUCUUGCGCAAUGGGCGAAAGCCUGACGCAGCCAUGCCGCGUGAAUGAUGAAGGUCUUAGGAUUGUAAAAUUCUUUCACCGGGGACGAUAAUGACGGUACCCGGAGAAGAAGCCCCGGCUAACUUCGUGCCAGCAGCCGCGGUAAUACGAAGGGGGCUAGCGUUGCUCGGAAUUACUGGGCGUAAAGGGAGCGUAGGCGGACAUUUAAGUCAGGGGUGAAAUCCCGGGGCUCAACCUCGGAAUUGCCUUUGAUACUGGGUGUCUUGAGUAUGAGAGAGGUGUGUGGAACUCCGAGUGUAGAGGUGAAAUUCGUAGAUAUUCGGAAGAACACCAGUGGCGAAGGCGACACACUGGCUCAUUACUGACGCUGAGGCUCGAAAGCGUGGGGAGCAAACAGGAUUAGAUACCCUGGUAGUCCACGCCGUAAACGAUGAUUGCUAGUUG